UACGGAGGGGGCUAGCGUUGUUCGGAAUUACUGGGCGUAAAGCGCACGUAGGCGGCGCGACAAGUCAGAGGUGAAAGGCCUGGGCUCAACCUGGGAACUGCCUUUGAUACUGGCGUGCUUAAGUCCGGAAGAGGGUGGCGGAAUUCCCAGUGUAGAGGUGAAAUUCGUAGAUAUUGGGAAGAACACCGGUGGCGAAGGACGGUCACCUGGUCCGGUACUGACGCUGAGGUGCGAAAGCGUGGGGAGCAAACAGG
rnacentral:rRNA from 1 species